rnacentral:rRNA from 1 species
GACGAGGGAUCCUAGCGUUGUUCGGAAUCAUUGGGCGUAAAGGGCGCGUAGGCGGCUCUGCACGUUCGUUGUGAAAUCGCCCGGCUCAACUGGGCGGGGUCAGCGGAUACGGCAGAGCUUGAGCAAGCUAGGGGGCAAUGGAAUUCCCGGUGUAGUGGUGGAAUGCGUAGAUAUCGGGAGGAACACCAGUGGCGAAGGCGGUUGCCUGGGGCUUUGCUGACGCUGAUGCGCGAAAGCGUGGGGAGCGAGUCCGG